rnacentral:rRNA from 1 species
CAGCAUGAGGUAGCAAUACCUUGAUGGCGACCGGCGCACGGGUGAGUAACGCGUAUGCAACCUGCCUGAUACCGGGGUAUAGCCCAUGGAAACGUGGAUUAACACCCAUAGUACUUUUAUCCUGCAUGGGAUGUGAGUUAAAUGUUCAAGGUAUCGGAUGGGCAUGCGUCCUAUUAGUUAGUUGGCGGGGUAACAGCCCACCAAGACGAUCGAUAGGUAGGGGUUCUGAGAGGAAGGUCCCCACAUUGGAACUGAGACUACGGUCCAAACUCC